UACGUAGGGUGCAAGCGUUGUCCGGAAUUAUUGGGCGUAAAGAGCUCGUAGGCGGUCUGUCGCGUCUGCUGUGAAAACUCGGGGCUUAACCCCGGGCCUGCAGUGGGUACGGGCAGACUAGAGUGCGGUAGGGGAGACUGGAAUUCCUGGUGUAGCGGUGAAAUGCGCAGAUAUCAGGAGGAACACCGGUGGCGAAGGCGGCGACCUGGGUGGAUACUGACGCUGAGGCGCGAAAGCGUGGGGAGCAAACAGG
rnacentral:rRNA from 1 species